CUCCGUUUGCAUCUUAUGACGGCUGCCUACUCCAAUCCUUAUGAAAACUACUUAAAAUAUAGCUUUCAUCUCAAAAUGUUCAACAACAAUAAUAGUUACGCCUUCCAUUUUACGUCGCCCCAUUUAAACUUAUUUUACGCCCAAAAAACAUAAAAAUAAAAACUACUCUACUGGCUUACAAAGAGAUAGAUAUUUUAAACUCUUAAACCUUUUUUUGUUUUGUGUGUUUGAUUUUGACGGAAAAAGCAAUUUUAUCUAGUAAAUGUUGUUUUGUUUCUUUGUCAAUUGUCACUAAAUGCAGCUAUCUAACAACAUAAAACAUUUGUUGACCUAGUAUUGUAGUCGUAAAGUGUCAUGAGCACGCUUAAUAAGGAUAAUUUUCAAGUCAUAGUAUUAGAGGUUUUGGAUUUUGAUUAUCAACAAAUCAGAAAAUAAAAUAAAAAAAAAUUGAAAAACGAAAAUUUCCAAAAAAAAAUGGUAGGAUUACUGUUCAUCUGUGUUCUAAAACGGAAAUCCUACUGUUGUUCAUUGCUUAUUUCCAAAAAUGUCAGAAGUUUUUUUUAUCUCUCUGUCAAAUUUUGUGUCCGAAAAUUGUUGAAUCCACUGAUAACAGUUGAAAAUCGUUGGUUACUUGGGGUCUAGUUCGAAUUCCACUCCAUUUGCGACUUCGGGUUUCUGGGCUUUGCUCAGAUUUGAAUUUCGCUGAGGAUUCUAGUUCAAAAUCGAUUGGGUGUUCGAGAUUUUAGUUGGAAACACUGAUACAAGGUGGAAUCUGAAGAUUUGAGAUCGAUUUGAGCUGAAUUUCUAGGGUUGGGUUCGAAAUUUUGCGAAGCUGCUUCUAUACGGAGAAGGUGACCUAGGGUUGUGGAUUUCGUCAUUGUUUCUAGAAAUAGAUUUUGUGGUUUUGUUCUAAUUGGUGUUGAGAAUUUGUAUUCGAAGUUUGGGAGUGUUGAAGCCUUGUUCGAAGUGGUCUCGGUCAAAAUUUUGGAGUUAAUUUGACGAAGAAGACGAGCUGGGAUUCCUUUGAUUUCCUGAACUAUUAUUCAAAAUUGAUUCCAAAAUUGUUCUUUGUGUCGAAUCGAGCUCGUAUAUCAAAUUUGAACUCGUCUGAUGCAGAUUUGAGUGAGGUUGCAUAGAAAAUUUUGAGUCAAGCUUGAAGAACUUCGAAAAACACCAGCUGCAAAUUUGAAGAAUUUUGCGGACUGGUUCGAAUUGAUUCGAGCAGGAGAAUCGUCGCAACUAAUCAGGCUGAGGCGCGGAUAUCUCGCUCUCUUUAAGAAGAUUCAAGCCCACUGCAACAAAGUCUUUACUGGUCCAGCAGUAAUCCUCUUGACUUGUCUCCCCCAGGAUAUAACAGCCUGAUCACGUCGUAAGACUCGAACAAACUCUACAAGUUGAUGAGUCCAAAGCCCCACCAAGAUGAACAACUUCCUUCAACAAAACUUCAGCUGCAAGUUUCAGCACUGCUUCUGCUCUAUUUGGACUGCUGAAUAUCUGCAAGUUUUGGACAACAUUUGGGGCUGCAUUUGGUUGACUGAAAACUCUGAUUGUUCUUUGGUUGAAGACUUGAAGUCUGCAUUUGGCAUCAGUUAUGCAGCAAUGUUAGCGCCAAUUAGCUGCAGUCUUGGAGUUGUUAUUUCUGCAUUAUAAAACCUGGAAUUUCUGCAUUAUAGAAGCUUGAGUUUGGUUUGCUGCUAUUCCAGGGUGAAUAUGCUGAAGAAGUGAGAAAACGAUAAACCGAUUCAAUUGCUUCUCCUGUUGUCUUGCGCUUAGCUUGGUUUGGUUUCAGUUGGGUUCUACACUUUCAUAUUUCUGCACAGUUGGUUUGCUCAGAAGGAUUACAACAGUCUGAAACUUUGUUAGCGUUUGUGAAUCUGUCCAGAAUUACCGAUCACAUCCUUUGCGAAUUUGGCUUGUUUUACAAAUCUGUCCACAUUUUUGCAUUCAAACCAGCAACUACAAACAAAAUCUGCCCAGUUGAAUAUAAAUAUUCAGAACUGCUGCUGCUUCUCGUUCUAGUCUUGAACCAUGCUUUGAGUUACAAGUUGAAAAGAUGUUUAGGAGCAAUUGAAGUUAUCUGCAGUUUGUUACAUUACUGCAAUUUCUGGGAAUUGAGGUUGUAGUUCUCAAUUGCUUGUCUGCUAAGUUAGCUACUGUUAUUGAGAAUUAUCCCUAGAGUGUGCAGAGUUGUUUUGAAGCUGUGGUAAACAGAUUUGGUGAACAUUCAGUCAAGGGUUUGAAUCUAGUUGCUUGAUUCUCUGAAUAUUGAGCUGAAAUAUGGUUUGAGCUGCUGAAGCUCUAAGCCCUUACUGCAUCUGUUGGUUUAAGGACCUGCGCAUCUGUUUGGUAUUCUGCUGAAGUUUCUUUGGGCUGCUUAAUUCUGCAGGGUGAAUAGGUGAACAGCUGCAUUUUUGGAACAAGUUCAACACAGUUUGCCUUUGCUACGUCUGCCCAGAAGAUACACUUUAGUUGUUGAACAGUUAAAGUUGAGGCUGCAAUAGUUCUAGCAGUUGCAAAACUGACCAGUGUUGCAUAAAAAGUCCAGAUUCUUGCAAAGAAGACCAGUUUUAUAGAAAUACCCAAUUUUGCGCUUUUUUUUUUUAAUUUUUUUUUUUUACAAAAGUGUCUUGUUUUGUAGUUUCUUUUCUUUUCUUUCCUCCAAGUUGUAGUAACCUAAACUCUUUAACUAGAUUAACUUAAUAUUUAGUUCAUAUUGAGUUUAAUUCUAGUUUCUUUUGUGUGCUUUGUUUA